CCCUUACUUCCUGUUCUCCUCACUAAGAGACCUAAUGGAGUUUGCCUCACUGAUGGUCAAAAAUUCAAGGACUUAGGUGAAGAAAUUCAUUCUGGGUCUCAGAGUUAACAUAUAUAUGAAGUGGGAAUCAAAAUCAAUUUUUUCACUUUCAGGUUCCUUAUGAGAAAAGUGCCUUUCCAACAAUGAAGUAAUAUAAAAAAGCAGUUAUUAAGAAUUACAGUGUUCCUGGUUAUUGG
rnacentral:lncRNA from 1 species